rnacentral:rRNA from 1 species
AAAAACAUUUCCUCUUGGUAUAAGAGGUAAGGCCUGCUCACUGACUAGGUUGAAGAGCCGCAGUACAUUGACUGUGCUAAGGUAGCAUAAUCAUUAGUCCUUUAAUUGGGGACUGGUAUGAAUGGCUAAACGAGAAAUUAGCUUUCUUUGUUAUGGUUUGUUGAAUUUAACUUGUAAGUGAAAAGGCUUACAUGAUUCAGAAAGACGAGAAGACCCUAUAGAGUUUUACAAAGGCCUAAAAUACAGCUUAUUAGUUUUAAAGGGUUAUAUUUUGGAAAUUUGUUUGGUUGGGGCGACAUAAAGAUAAAAAAAACUCUUUGUAGUAUAAACUUUGGUGGAAGAAAAGGUUUGAUCCUCUAAAAGGGAUUAUAAGAAAAAAUUACCUUAGGGAUAACAGCGUAAUCUUCUUUUAGAGUUCAAAUCGACAAGAAGGUUUGCGACCUCGAUGUUGGACUAAAAUUUGGGCAAGGUGCAGCAGCUUUGUUUUUGGGUCUGUUCGACCCGUAAUAUUUUACAUGAUCUGAGUU